rnacentral:rRNA from 1 species
GACGAACGCUGGCGGCGUGCUUAACACAUGCAAGUCGAGCGGAAAGGCCCUUCGGGGUACUCGAGCGGCGAACGGGUGAGUAACACGUGAGUAACCUGCCCCAGACUUUGGGAUAACCCUCGGAAACGGGGGCUAAUACCGGAUACGACACAGCUUCGCAUGGGGUCUGUGUGGAAAGUUUUUCGGUUUGGGAUGGGCUCGCGGCCUAUCAGCUUGUUGGUGGGGUGAUGGCCUACCAAGGCGAAGACUGGUAGCCGGCCUGAGAGGGCGACCGGCCACACUGGGACUGAGAAACGGCCCAGACUCCUACGGGAGGCAGCAGUGGGGAAUAUUGCACAAUGGGCGGAAGCCUGAUGCAGCGACGCCGCGUGAGGGAUGACGGCCUUCGGGUUGUAAACCUCUUUCAGCAGGGACGAAGCGUAAGUGACGGUACCUGCAGAAGAAGCGCCGGCCAACUACGUG